ACAUGUCCGAUUGCGGCAUUGGCCUGUCC
rnacentral:sRNA from 1 species